UGGGAAACUGAUACAUGGGGAGUCCGAGCAGUGCUUUGCCCAUCACAAGUUUUCCCUAUAUCAAACCUGCUCUCUGAUGACAUGACUCUGAUCGCCAUGGACAGAUACGGGGCAGACAGUC